GGAGAGGUGUCCGAGUGGCUUAAGGAGCACGCUUGGAAAGCGUGUGUGUCGUAUUCCGGCACCGAGGGUUCAAAUCCCUCCCUCUCCGCCA
rnacentral:tRNA from 1 species